UUUUAGUGAGAAUAGUUACAUUGGAAUGCAAGAAAACCAAAAUCUUUGUUGAAAACUUAACAAGAUUAAAAUGAAUGGAAAGAAAGAUAAGGGAGAAAGGGAAUAAAGAAGAAAGGAAAGCAAACGGUAAUUCAUGCUAAAUCCUGCAUGAUUGAGCAUACUUUAGUCACUUGUGGAACCAAUUCUAGUCCACUUGUCACAAAUCUAGUGGAGGGAUCAAAUCAAGUUGCAAAG
rnacentral:misc_RNA from 1 species